rnacentral:piRNA from 1 species
UCUCUUGUUGGCUGCCAUGUGAGACGUGC